GGAUAACCUGCCUCAAGGCUGGGGAUAACAUUUGGAAACAGAUGCUAAUACCGAAUAAAACUUAGUAUCGCAUGAUAUCAAGUUAAAAGGCGCUACGGCGUCACCUAGAGAUGGAUCCGCGGUGCAUUAGUUAGUUGGUGGGGUAAAGGCUUACCAAGACGAUGAUGCAUAGCCGAGUUGAGAGACUGAUCGGCCACAUUGGGACUGAGACACGGCCCAAACUCCUACGGGAGGCUGCAGUAGGGAAUCUUCCACAAUGGGCGCAAGCCUGAUGGAGCAACGCCGCGUGUGUGAUGAAGGCUUUCGGGUCGUAAAGCACUGUUGUAUGGGAAGAAAUGCUAAAAUAGGGAAUGAUUUUAGUUUGACGGUACCAUACCAGAAAGGGACGGCUAAAUACGUGCCAGCAGCCGCGGUAAUACGUAUGUCCCGAGCGUUAUCCGGAUUUAUUGGGCGUAAAGCGAGCGCAGACGGUUGAUUAAGUCUGAUGUGAAAGCCCGGAGCUCAACUCCGGAAUGGCAUUGGAAACUGGUUAACUUGAGUGUUGUAGAGGUAAGUGGAACUCCAUGUGUAGCGGUGGAAUGCGUAGAUAUAUGGAAGAACACCAGUGGCGAAGGCGGCUUACUGGACAACAACUGACGUUGAGGCUCGAAAGUGUGGGUAGCAAACAGGAUUAGAUACCCUGGUAGUCCACACCGUAAACGAUGAAUACUAGGUGUUAGGAGGUUUCCGCCUCUUAGUGCCGAAGCUAACGCAUUAAGUAUUCCGCCUGGGGAGUACGACCGCAAGGUUGAAACUCAAAGGAAUUGACGGGGACCCGCACAAGCGGUGGAGCAUGUGGUUUAAUUCGAAGCAACGCGAAGAACCUUACCAGGUCUUGACAUCCUUUGAAGCUUUUAGAGAUAGAAGUGUUCUCUUCGGAGACAAAGUGACAGGUGGUGCAUGGUCGUCGUCAGCUCGUGUCGUGAGAUGUUGGGUUAAGUCCCGCAACGAGCGCAACCCUUAUUGUUAGUUGCCAGCAUUCAGUUGGGCACUCUAGCGAGACUGCCGGUGACAAACCGGAGGAAGGCGGGGACGACGUCAGAUCAUCAUGCCCCUUAUGACCUGGGCUACACACGUGCUACAAUGGCGUAUACAACGAGUUGCCAACCUGCGAAGGUGAGCUAAUCUCUUAAAGUACGUCUCAGUUCGGACUGCAGUCUGCAACUCGACUGCACGAAGUCGGAAUCGCUAGUAAUCGCGGAUCAGCACGCCGCGGUGAAUACGUUCCCGGGUCUUGUACACACCGCCCGUCACACCAUGGGAGUUUGUAAUGCCCAAAGCCGGUGGCCUAAC
rnacentral:rRNA from 1 species